rnacentral:lncRNA from 1 species
UAAGGAAUCUCGAAAUGCUCAGAGAGUUCGAAAUUGCAGAUUGUCCAAAUUUGGAGAGAAGGUGCAAGAAAGAAAAAGGAAAGGACUGGCCUAAGAUAGCUCACAUCCCUACCAUCAUCAUUAAUAACCAGCUAAUACAGUCCUCGGAGACCUGAAGAAAAUAUGAUUGCUUGGUACGUGUUGGGACUUCAUUUGUCUAAUAUCCUCAUGUAAAAUCGGGAAUAUUUAUUCACCAAGUACUAAUAGCUGUGGUGAUCAAAUAAAAUGUAAAUUGUUAUAAGAUUUUAGGGAUGGUAGCAAGUUUUAGAUGAAUAAGCCGCAGAUGAGGAAUUCUAUUUCUCUUCAGUGUUGUUUUGUGCUUAUUUACAAUCUAUUGCUGAAUAAAAUUAUGAAUCUAAUUUGAAGAUUGGUUUUAGUAAAUAUACUGCUAUAUAUUAUGUAAACAAACCUCUUUUAUAUCAAUUCCUGGCUUUUGUGAUUUUCACUUGAGCUUCUAAUGGUGUAAGCAGGGCAGGUAGGCAAUGUCCACUGAGGAAUCUUCAAAAUCAAGAGAGCCUGAACUUUGCUGCAUAUAACACAAAUAUGUUUGAAUUGAUUGAAGCAUUGCAUCGCAGGGGAUACUCGCACAUGAUGUAUCAAUGUAUAUUUAGGAUCUGCAAUCCAGAAUAUUAAUCUUGAACAUGUUGAAAGUUGUAGCAUGUUGCCACAAGAAAUCACUUUUACAUAGGAAAAUUAGCUAUUGAUGUAAAGCCAAAAAAUCUAAGAAACAUCAACAAGAUAAAUAAGAUGUUAAUGUAUAACUAUUAUCCAGGAUCUCUGAACACUUUUUUUUUAAAAAAAAUUCAUAGGAAAAUUAGCUAGAAUAUGCCUGCUAGCCUACUGUAGAAGUUGAAAGGGAAGAAUCACCUUCCUUGUUUGCUCGCACUACGUCAGCUUGAACUAGAAAUGGUAUUCUGGGGUUGGCACGAGCUGAGCCAGGCAAUUUUUGUCCUAACCAAUAGUUAUAUGAAGAUGACCAGUAUCUCCAAUUUUAUAUGAAGAUGAUGAAAUAUUUAUUAUAAUAUAAAGUAUGAUACAAACAGCCUACAAAUAUUUAUAUGUACUAUAUAUAUAUAUAUAUAUUUUUUUUUUUUUCUUGUAGGCGUUGAAAGCUCACCUACUCUGCUUGCUUGCUUGCUUGGGUUAGUCAGUGUCGUUUAGUUCUAGACUUCUUUCCAUAUAUAUCCUGCAAGUAUGAUUCGGAGCCCUUGCAAGUCUUUAGGCAUCGCUUUUGCUGCCUCUUUGUAGCCUUCUCUGAAUCUUUCUCUCUGUUGUUUCAAUCCUCUCGCCUUCCUCGGAAAACCGGAGAUAGCAUUGGAAACAAAUCGCUAUAAGUCUACCGUUCUGUUGAAUUAGAGGUAGACCUACCAGAGGAAGCAAAGCCUGCAUCAGGUUGAAAGACAGAGAUGGCAACUGAAGAGAUCAAAGAAUUGCCAAAAUCAUGGGCCAUGGUUGGUGGAGAUGGACUUCAAAGCUAUACUCAAAAUUCCUCCUAUCGGGUUCAUAUUCUUCCCCUUUGUAAUAAUAAUAAUAAUAGCAAUACUAAAACACUUUGGCUUGUGAGGCAAAACAGCCUCUCUUUUUUACUUCGGUUUUUUUUUUUUUCAUUAUUUGAUGUUGAGUUGAUUGAAGUUUCAUUUUAAUAAUUUGUUGUUUAUGUAGUCAUUACAAUUUUUAAAAACCAUAUUGACAUCAUGAUAAUAUUCUCCAAAUCAAUGUUUUCAAAGUUGCGUUCAUUGAAAAAUAGGGUUGAUGAUUUGUUUUUUAUGUAGUUAUUUAGAUUUUAAAAGAAAAAUCUUGUAAUUAUUUUGGAGCUCAAUUUCACCAAGAAUAAUCUAUUUUAUUGUUUGUGAAAAAUUAAAAAUAAAAGGAUCGAAAUUAUAUCACAUACAAAUUGAGAGGUCCUUUUUGAAAAAACUCUGUCAGUUUCAUUUCCACAAAUUUUUUCUUUGGGUUUUGACAAAAAUCAUUUUUGAUUCCUUGAGGUAGAAGAAUAAAAGUUCGAUUCAAAACUUUAUUUUUUUUAUAUUUUAGUUCUUAAAUUUUAAACUAGAAAGAAAAAGUCUUUGAAUUAUGAUUAGUAGAGAGAAAAGUUGACAAACAUGCACUUUCCAGUAACAAAAAUUAAUGUUUUUGGCGUUAAAAAGUUCCAUUCAAAAAGAAAAGUUCUAAUUAAACCUAAACGAGCAUAUCAUGAAAUGUAUCAAAUUCAUCUGUAUGAUGGAGGAGAUGCCCUUAAAAUCAUUUUAGUAGGAGAUUUAGUUUUGAUCAAUAUAUUAACUAGUUAAAACAAAACACAUUUUGUUUUUGAAUAAAAAAUAUUCUCCUGAUGGAGGAGAUGCACUUUUAUUUUAUUUAUUUAAGUGAAUAACACAUAAUUUUAUUUUUAUUAGAGUACGCUGGGGGAUAUAAACUUGGCGGCCCCCAUUAGUUUUGCCGUUGGUUAGGUGAUUUGAGAGAUGUAUUUGAAACUGUAGACCAUGGCUCGUUACCUCUUUCGGCUUAAAGGAGAGAGAAGCAUAUGGUGGUUUGAUCUGGAUUCGGAUUAAGCCUGGAUUGAUGGGUUGAUUUGGAGAACUCCCUCAAAGCUUUAUAUUAAUUGGUUUUUCAAAAAAAAAUAGUUGAAUUAAUUAUUCAUUUUCGUUUGGAUAGCUUCACAACUAUACAUAAAAAUUAAAUUAAAAUUAAAAAGGAUAGGGGUUUCGUUUGAGCACCCAGACCCAAUUUAAUGUGGAUUUGCACCUAAAUACAUUUUAAUGUGGAUUUUCAAUUAAUUGUAAAUUAAAAUUAAAAAGGAUAGGGGUUUACUUUUGAGGGUAUUUUGAUAUAUUCACAUUGAUUUUAAAUUAAAUUAAAUUAAAAAGGUUUGAAAAAAAUUAAAUUUAAGUUAAUUUAUCAAAUUCAAGCAUAAUUUUAAAUCAAUUCAAUAUAAUUAAAAGAAAAAUAAUUAAAAAUAAAACCGAAGUCGACUGCCAAACAAGUGUGUCAAAAUCUCAACAAUUGUUCCAAACUUUCUACAUCCGAACAUUUCUUCGAAAUAACUCAAGUCGAACAAUGUUGCUUUAGCACUUAAGACAAGACUAGCAUUUACCAAAAAGAAGAUGAAAUUAAACUAAAAUGAGCACCGAUUUCAUGUGAUACUCUCACUUUCCUUGAGUUUUCUAUGUAUUUCCUCAAAGUGGGGACACCCUUCUCCACCUUUUCAUAUCACAAGUCAGCUUUGCUUAAUGUUUGCGAUUGAUUAUAUAUAUAUAUAUAUUCCACAACAAUGAGUUAGUGUACAAGUCUUUGUCGGUGUUGGUCACCCUUAUAGCCAAUCCACCGAAAAAAUGUUGCAGCUCAUCGUCCUAUGCAAACCGGGAGACAGCAGUGCAGUAGUUUUCUAUGCUUUUCAAGGAUAUGUUUAUCUUAAAAAAAAAUAUUGAUUUUAUCAGUACAGUUUAGAGCCUGUUUCGAGCAAAUGUAAUUGCUGGUAUACAAAGUUUUGAUGAAGAUGUAAAAGGUCCAAUAUUGUUCUAAGAGGAGGUUGGAUAUUUGACCAAAUAAGCCUAAUGAAACCCAUCGACAGAUUCAUUAGAGCCACCAAAGAAUAAAUAAUUCCUUCAGGUCCACAAAAAGACAGUGAAAUGGCUGGCAGAAGCAGCCGCCAUCAAUAAUUCACACCCCGCAGUCUACUUGCCUACGGAUUUUUCACAAACAAGGAUCUCUCCCUCCCUGCCUCCCUAGCUUAGCUCUCUCCCCUGUACUCUCUACACCACCAUCUCUUGCUUUACUUCCAUUUCCUACUUGCUUCUUGUUGCCAAUUAAGACCCACAAUUUAAAUUUCCCGCAAAUAGAAAACAAAAAAAGCUAUGGCUGAGGCAGUUACUUCUGCACUUGUUAGCACCAUCUUGGGGAACUUGAACACACUUGUGCAUGAAGAGCUUGGACUUGUUUUUGGCAUCCAGACCGAGUUUGAGAAACUCAAGCGCACCUUCAUGACGGUUCAAGCUGUCCUCAGGGAUGCCGAGGAGAAGCAGUGGAAAGAUGAGGCCAUCAGGACUUGGCUGAAACACCUCAAAGAUGCUGCCUAUGAUGCUGAUGAUGUGCUGGAUGAGUUCGCUAUUGAAGCUCAGAGGCGCAGACAGCGAGGGGGUCUUAAAAACCGAGUAAGGUCUUCGUUUUCUCUUGAUCAGAAUCCACUUGUUUUUCGAUUGAAAAUGGCUCGUAAGGUAAAGAAAGUAACAGAAAAGCUUGAUGCCAUUGCCGAUGAGAAAAAUAAGUUCAUACUAACAGAGGGAGUUGGAGAGAACGAAGCUGAUAGGUUCGAUUGGCGGAUAACUAGCUCGCUUGUUAACGAAUCAGAAAUCUUUGGAAGAGACAAGGAAAAAGAAGAGCUGAUCAGUUUGUUGCUCGCCAAUUCAGAUGACCUCUCUGUCUGUGCAAUAUGUGGCAUGGGGGGACUGGGGAAGACAACACUUGCUCAAUUAGUCUACAACGAUGCAAGUGUAAAAGGGCAUUUUGAUUUGAGUAUCUGGGUUUGCGUAUCUGUUGAUUUCGACAUAAGGAGGCUAUCAAGAGCCAUCAUAGAGUCCAUUGAAGGCAACCCUUGUGCCAUUCAAGAGCUGGACACUUUGCAACGACGCCUACAAGAAAAGUUGAUUGGAAGGAGGUUUUUGCUUGUGUUGGAUGAUGUUUGGGAUCAUUACCAUGAAAAAUGGAAUGCAUUGAAAGAUGCAUUGAGAGUUGGGGCUAGAGGAUGUGCUGUUAUAAUAACAACUCGUCUAAAGCAGGUUGCUGAUACAAUGGCUACUAUUCCUGUUCACCUAAUGGGAAGAUUGUCGGAAGAUGAUUCCUGGCUUCUGUUUGAGCGACUUGCAUUUGGAAUGAGAAGAAGGGAGGAGUAUGUGCACUUAGAAAGUAUUGGAAAGGCGAUAGUCAAUAAGUGCAGUGGCGUUCCUUUAGCUCUAAAGGCAUUGGGGAGCUUUAUGCGCUUCAAGAGAAAUGAACGAGAGUGGUUAUCUGUCAAAGAAAGUGAGAUUUGGAAUCUACCAGACGAAGGUGGCACAAUUAAAGCUGCCUUGAAGUUAAGUUAUAACAAUUUGCCGCCCCAUUUAAAGCAAUGCUUUGGAUUUUGUUGUAUGUUUCCGAAGGAUUAUGUCAUGGAGAAAGACCAGUUAGUAAAGCUCUGGAUGGCCAACGGAUUUAUUGAUCCUGAAGGGCAAAUGGAUUUGCAUGAGACGGGUUACGAGACUUUUGAUGACUUGGUUGGGAGAUCAUUUUUUCAGGAGGUCAAGGAGGGUGGCUUGGGAAACAUAACUUGCAAAAUGCAUGAUCUUUUCCAUGAUCUCGCAAAAUCAGUUAUGACAGGAGAAUGCUAUUUGAUCGAGAAGAAUAGGAGACCUAGAAUUCCGCAGACGGUUCGUCAUAUAACUUUUCUUGAUAAAAGUCUUUGUUAUUAUUAUGACAAGGCCCUUGUCAAAGGGAAAUCAUUGCGGUCGCUGAUUACCAUUCAGGAAAAUUACUCACCGAAUGAACAGACUAGUGUUGCUCCUUUACUCAAGGUGUCUGCACAAAAGAAACUACGGACGUUGGAUUUAAGCAAUUUCGAGUUUGAAAAAUUGCCAGAGCCGAUUGGUAAUUUGCAACAUCUAAGGUAUCUAGACGUCUCCAACUCUUCGAUCCAAAAACUACCUGAAUCAAUCAGCUCUCUUCAAUACUUGCAGACCCUAAAUUUGAGUUACUGCUCUCUUCUUUAUAUGCUACCAAAAAGGAUGAAGGACAUGAAAAGUCUCAUGUAUCUUGACCUCACAGGUUGUGAUGCGCUUCAAUGUAUGCCUUCAGGGAUGGGACAACUGACUUGUCUGCGAAAGCUUGGCAUGUUCAUUGUGGGUACAGAGGCUGGUCAUCACAUAGGGGAGCUGCAAAGACUGAAUUACAUUGGGGGUGAAUUGAGCAUCAAGGAUCUAGGUAACGUCCAAGGUCUCACAGAUGCACAAAAUGCUAAUUUGAUGAGGAAGACAAAUCUUCAAUCACUGAGUUUGUCUUGGCGAGAAGACGACAGCAGCAAAAUCAGUGAGGCAAACAGUGAAGAUGUUCUUUGUGCUCUUGAACCCCAUUCUAAUAUGAAGAAGUUAGAGAUAAGCGGAUAUCGAGGAUCCAAAUUUCCAGAUUGGAUGAUGGAGUUGCGUCUACCAAACCUAGUGGAGAUCUCACUAGAAUCGUGCAUGAAUUGUGAACAUCUUCCUCCUUUUGGGAAACUGCGGUUUCUUAAGCAUCUUCAAUUGAAGAGAAUGGACACUGUGAAGUGUAUUGGCAGUGAGAUGCAUGGAGAUGGAGAGAAUCCAUUUCCAUCAUUAGAGAGGCUGACUUUGGGUCCAAUGAUGAACUUAGAGGAGUGGGAAACAAAUAGCAUGGGUGGAAGGGAAAUUUUCACUUGCCUUGAUGAAUUACAGAUCAGAAAAUGCCCCAAGCUGGUCGAGUUACCAAUUAUUCCGUCGGUGAAAUAUUUAACGAUUGAGGACUGCGCUGUAACUUUGCUGAGGUCAGUUGUGAAUUUCACUUCUAUUACCUCCCUUCGAAUUGAGGGCUUCGAUGAAUUGGCAGUUCUUCCUGAUGGACUGUUGCAAAACCAUACGUGUCUUCAAUCCUUGACAUUUGGGAGUAUGGGAAGCCUUAGGUCGCUGUCAAAUCAGCUAAAUAACCUAUCUUCUCUAAAGAGUUUGGGUUUUUUGUUUUGUGAUAAACUUGAAAGCUUGCCAGAAGGUGUCCAGAACCUCAAUUCCUUGGAGAUGUUAGGUAUUUGUGCAAUGAUGCCAAAAAUGACUACACUGCCUGGUUUACCUUCGUCUCUUGCUGAGUUGCACAUUGUAGGUUGUCUAGAACUCACCUCUAUAUCCGAGGGGCUGCAACAUCUGACAGCACUCAAGGACUUGUAUCUUGCUGGAUGUGUGAAGUUAAAUUCCUUGCCAGAGAAUAUCCAACAUCUCACAUCCCUUUCAAGAUUGCGUAUCCAUGGAUGCUCUAAUUUGAUGUCUUUGCCAGAAGGCAUAAGGAAUCUCGAAAUGCUCAGAGAGUUCGAAAUUGCAGAUUGUCCAAAUUUGGAGAGACAGUGCAAGAGAGAAAAAGGAAAAGACUGGCCUAAGAUAGCUCACAUCCCUACCAUCAUCAUUAAUGCCCAGCUAAUACAGUCCUCGGAGACCUGAAGAAAAUAUGAUUGCUUGGUACGUGUUGUGACUUCAUUUGUCUAAUAUCCUCAUGUAAAAUCUGGAAUAUUUAUUCACCAAGUACUAAUAGCUGUGGUGAUCAAAUAAAAUGUAAAUUGUUUUAAUAUAUAUAUAUUCUUCUUAAAGGCGUUGAAAGCUCACCUACUCUGCUUGCUUGCCUGGGUUAGUCAGUGUUGUUUAGUUCUUCUUCUUUUCCAUAUAUAUCCUGCAGGCAUGAUUCGGAGCCUUUGCAAAUCUUUAGGCAUCGUUUUUGCUGCCUCUUUUUUGUAGCCUUCUCUGAAUCUUGCUCUCUGUUGUUUCAAUCCUCUCGCCUUUCUCGGAAAACCGGAGAUAGCAUUGGAAACAAAUCGCUAUAAGUCUACCGUUCUGUUGAAUUAGAGGUAGACAUACCAGAGGAAGCAAAGCCUGCAUCAGGUUGAAAGACAGAGAUGGCAACUGAAGAGAUCAAAGAAAAGCCAAAAUCAUGGGCCAUGGUUGGUGGAGAUGGACCUCAAAGCUAUACUCAAAAUUCCUCCUAUCAGGUGCAUAUUCUUCCCCUUGUAAUAAUAAUAAUAAUAAUAAUAGCAAUAAUAAAACACUUUGGCUUGUGACGCAAAAUAGCCUUUUUUUUUUUUUUGUACUUCGGUUUUUUUUUUAGUUUUAUUAUUUGAUGUUGAGUUGAUUUGAGUUUCAUGUUAAUAAUUUGUUUUUAUUUGUAUUUUAUAUGGUCAUUACAAUUUUUAAAAACUAUAUUGACAUCAUGAUAAUAUUCCAUUUCAUGAAAAAGGUAUAAUUUGGUUGUUUGUAAAUAAUUGAAUGCCGUUUAAAAAAAAAAUCAAUAUCAAGUAUCAACUCUAGUCUUUCUUUUUAGUUUUUAAUCAUCAAUUUUUUUUCUUUUCAAUUGGAUCCUUCAAAAUUGUGUUGAUUGGAAAAUAAGAUUAAUGGUUUGUUUUAGUUUAAAAAGUUCCUCGCAACUUUAAUUUUUUUUUUCUGCUCAUUUUUUUUUGGUGUAGCUCGCGCCAAAGCGUAAACAACCUAUCGAAUGCAUAUAAUGCAUCUGCUUAUUGCAACAGAAAGGAGUGGUAGAUGCUUCAAAGGAAAAGGUGACUGAAGGCAUCAAAGACAAGCUUGAUUUUAAAAGCCUUGGUUUUGACUCCUCGAAUGACACAUUUCGAAUAGCAGAUUUUGGUUGUUCUGUUGGACCCAAUACAUUUUUUGCUGUGGAAAACAUCAUAGAAGCUGUGGAGCAGAAAUAGCAAGCCCAGUUCCAAAAAUCCCCACCCUUGGAGUUGGAGUUCCAAGUAUUCUUCAACGAUGUCACAACCAAUGAUUUCAACACUCUCUUCAAAACCCUCCAUUCCAAUAGAAAAUACUUUGCUGCUGGAUUGCCCGGUACUUUCUACGGCCGCCUCCUCCCCAAGUCCACAUUGCAUUUCGCGUACUCUUCAUAUUGCUUACAGUGGCUCUCUAAGGUCCCAAAAGAAGUUGUAGACAACAAGUCUCCUGCAUGGAACAAUGGCAGCAUCCAAUGUGAUGGUCUCAAAAAAGAAGUCACCAAGGCAUAUUCAGCUCAGUUCCAGAGUGACAUGAACACCUUUUUGAAUGCUAGAGCACAAGAAAUUGUGGGUGGAGGAUUGAUGGUGAUUAUAAUGGCCGGUCUUCCUGAUGGGAUCUUUAUGUCUCAGGCAGGAGUUGGAAUGUACUAUGAACUUCUCGGAUCAUGCCUCGUCGACAUGGCUAAAUUGGUAAAAUAAUUCUCUCUCUAACUGAUUAGAAGCAAAAUCCUAGUAAGUAUACUCUUUGACAUAUGCAGAUCGUUCUUCUUUGUAGGGAGAGAUUAGUGAAGAAAAGGUGAACUCGUUCAACUUGCCUCUGUACUAUUCUUCUUCUACGGAGAUUGAAGAAAUCAUAAAAGUAAACGAGAAUUUUAGUAUUGAGAUAAUGCACUCAUUGAGUCAUCAGAUUUGGCAAACGUCGAAGAAAUCCAAUAUCGAAGUUUCUGUUUCAGGGGGCAGAGCUGUUUUUCAGGGUCUUCUGGAAGAGCACUUUGCAAGUGAAGUUGUAGAAAAAAUAUUUGAGCAUUUUGCUAAGAAGCUUUGUGACAAUUUCUCUAUCUUCGAUGGCGCAGCCCAUGAACACAUCGACCAUUUCAUCCUGCUCAAGCGUAACGUUAAUUGAAAUCACUCACAGUUAUGUGCUCGCUAUUCCCUUAGUUUGGAAUUUGGAUUCCAUUGUUAUCAAAUAAUGAAGUGUGCAUCUCAUGCUGGAGAUGUUGAACUUCAGAUCAAAUAAUUUGGAUUCCAUUUCUAUGCUAUUUCGAUCUCAUUUAUUUGCUUCAAUUCCUUCUUUCAGAAGGUUAGAACUAAUAUCACGGCUUCACUUUUUGGAAAAGCUUAUGCACUAAACUUUCUCUCAAGGUUCAUGUUCAUUAUAUCAAAUUUGAAACUAUAGAACUGCGAAGACAACGAUAAAAUAUGUGUGUCUGGAUGGAGUGAUAAAUAUUAUAAAUUAAUGAAUUUGAAAGCCAAAACCACUCAUUAGGAAAGAAGACUAAAACUAAUUUAAGAACUUUCAAAUUAUAAAGGCAAAAUGUUUUAGUAUGCUUUCAGGGAGUCUCGAACAAGGAAACUAUAAGAUGCAGCAUGUGUAGAAAAAAAUCUGAUGCUUUUAUAUAUAUAUAUUAAGAUCACAAAUUAUAAUGGUGUUUAGAUAUUUUUAAUUAAUUCGUUUUUUUUAUGAUAUUAGAUAUUUUUAUUAAUAUGAUUAGCUAAAAGUUGUUCUUAUUAUAAACUAAAAGAAUGUCAGAAGAUAUUCUUGUCUCUAGAAUACAAUAAAGGUUCAUUUAUAUAUUUAAUUAAUUUAGUUCAUGCGUUUGUAUUAUACAGUUACUAGUUGUAGGGUGCGUUCCGUUGUGGGCGGCACCUCUAAUUGUUUUUUGCACUAAAAAAAAUUCAAGUCAUGAGAAUUUUUUUUAGUGGUCAUUGGGUUAGUAUCGAAAUCUCCUAACCUGUUUUCUUGUUUAUAUUCAAUUAAAUAAAAUGAAAGUAAAAUUUUUAUUCUUAUAUUUAAUUUAAUUAAAAAAUAAAGUAUCUAUAUAAAAAAAUAAAUUUAAUAAAAAACAACAAAUUAAAAAAAUUCACAAUAACCCAUAUUAUUUUCAAAAUCAGCAAAAAAUCUUAUAGGAAACAAAUGAAAAAAAUUAAUCGAGCCCAAUUUUCAAUAAAUAAAUUUGAAAGAUGAAACUGAAAAAAACAUGAGUUAAAAAAAAUCAUGGAGUAAGUAUCUCAUAUUUAUAUUAAUUAAUUAAUUUAAAUUAAUUAUAAAAUAUAUCUUUUAAAAAAGUUAAAUUUAAUAAAGAAUGGUAAAUAAAAAGAUCUAAGAUAACAUGAGUUAUUUUUAAAAUUAGUAAAAAAUCCUAUAAGAAGUAAGUAAAAAUAUUAAUGGAGUUCAAUCUAUAAUUAAAUAAAUAAUUUAAAACUAAAUUAUCACUAGAAUAGGACCACUAAAAGAAAAAAAAAUUAUUCAACUAAAUUAUUCUAAUUGAAUAAAUAAUCUAAGAAUGGGCCAUAGAAGCCUCAUUGUUCUAAGAGGUUGGAUACUUGACCAAAUAGGCCCACUAAAACCCAUUAACAGAUUCAUUAGAGCCACCAAAGAAUAAAUAACUCCUUAAGGUCCACAAAAAGACAGUGAAAUGGCUGGCAGCAGCAGCCAUCAUCAAUAAUUCACAUACGUAGUCUACUUGCCUACGGGUUUUUUCACAAACAAGGAUCUCUCCCUCCCUCCCUGGCUUAGCUCUCUCCCCUGUCCUCUCUUCACCACCAUUUCUUGCUGUACUUCCAUUUCCUACUUGCUUCUUUUUGCUUAUUAAGACCCACAAUUUAAAUUUCCGGCAAAAAGAAAACAAAAAAAAGCUAUGGCUGAGGCAACUAUUUCUGCACUUGUUAGCACCGUCUUGGGGAACUUGAACACACUUGUACUUGAAGAGCUUGGACUUGUUUUUGGCAUCCAGACCGAGUUUGAGAAACUCAAGCGCACCUUCAUGACGGUUCAAGCUGUCCUCAAGGAUGCUGAGGAGAAGCAGUGGAAAGAUGAGGCAAUCAGGAUUUGGCUGACAGACCUCAAAGAUGCUGCCUAUGAUGCUGAUGAUGUGCUGGAUGAGUUCGCUAUUGAAGCUCAGAGGCGCAGACAGCGAGGGGGUCUUAAAAACCGAGUAAGGUCUUUGUUUUCUCUUCAUCAGAAUCCACUUGUUUUUCGAUUGAAAAUGGCUCAUAAGGUAAAGAAUGUAAGAGAAAAGCUUGAUUCCAUUGCCAAUGAGAAAAAUAAGUUCAGACUAACAGAGGGAGUUGGAGAGAACGAAGCUGAUAGCUUCGAUUGGCGGAUAACUUGCUCGCUUGUUAACGAAUCAGAAAUCUAUGGAAGAGACAAGGAAAAAGAAGAGCUGAUCAGUUUGUUGCUCGCCAAUUCAGAUGACCUCUCUGUCUGUGCAGUAUGUGGCAUGGGGGGGCUGGGGAAGACAGCACUUGCUCAAUUUGUCUACAACGAUGCAAGUGUAAAAGGGCAUUUUGAUUUGAGUAUCUGGGUUUGCGUAUCUGUUGAUUUCGACAUAAGGAGACUAUCAAGAGCUAUCAUAGAGUCCAUUGAAGGCAACCCUUGUACCAUUCAAGAGAUGGACACUUUGCAACGACGCCUCCAAGAAAAGUUGAUUGGAAGGAGGUUUUUGCUUGUGUUGGAUGAUGUUUGGGAUCAUUACCAUGAAAAAUGGAAUGCAUUGAAAGAUGCUUUGAGAGUUGGAGCUAGAGGAUGUGCUAUUCUAAUAACAACUCGUCUAAAGCAGGUUGCUGAUAAAAUGGCUACUAUUCCUGUUCACCUAAUGGGAAGAUUGUCGGAAGAUGAUUCUUGGCUUCUGUUUGAGCGACUUGCAUUUGGGAUGAGAAGAAGGGAGGAUUAUGUGCACUUAGAAAGUAUUGGAAAGGCGAUAGUCAAUAAGUGCAGUGGCGUUCCUUUAGCUCUAAAGGCAUUGGGGAGCUUGAUGCGCUUCAAGAGAAAUGAACGAGAGUGGUUAUCUGUCAAAGAAAGUGAGAUUUGGAAUCUACCAGACGAAGGUGGCACAAUUUUACCUGCCUUGAAGUUAAGUUAUAACAAUUUGCCACCACAUUUGAAACAAUGCUUUGGAUUUUGCUGUAUGUUUCCGAAGGAUUAUGUCAUGAAGAAAGACGAGUUAGUAAAGCUAUGGAUGGCCAAUGGAUUUAUUGAUCCUGCAGGGCAAAUGGAUUUGCAUGAGACAGGUUACGAGAUUUUUGAUGACUUGGUUGGGAGAUCAUUUUUUCAGGAGUUCAAGGAGGAUGGCUUCGGAAACAUAACUUGCAAAAUGCAUGAUCUUAUCCAUGAUCUUGCAAAAUCAGUUAUGAUAGAAGAAUGCUAUUUGAUCGAGAAGAAUAGGAGACCUAGAAUUCCUAAGACAGUUCGUCACAUGACUUUUCUUGGUAGAAGUCUUUGUUAUUAUGACAAGGACCUUGUCAAAGUGCAAUCAUUGCGGUCUCUGAUAUCCAUUCAGGUCGAUUAUUACCGGCGUGGUGCUCUUUUAUUCAAGGUGUCUUCACAAAAGAAACUACGGACGUUGAGUUUAAGCAAUUUCUGGUUUGUGAAAUUUCCGGAGCCGAUUGGUAAUUUGCAACAUCUAAGAUAUCUAGACGUCUCUUGUUCUCUUAUCCAAAAACUGCCUGAAUCAAUCAGCUCUCUUCAAAACUUGCAGACCCUAAAUUUGAGUUACUGCCCUCUGCUUUAUAUGCUUCCAAAAAGGAUGAAGGACAUGAAAAGUCUCAUGUAUCUUGACCUCACACGUUGUGAUGCGCUUCAAUGUAUGCCUUCAGGGAUGGGACAACUGGCUUGUCUGCGAAAGCUAGGUAUGUUCAUUGUGGGUAAAGAGGCUGGUCAUCACAUAGGGGAGCUGCAAAGACUGAAUUACAUUGGGGGUGAUUUGAGCAUCAAGGAUUUAGGUAACGUCCAAGGUUUUACAGAUGCACAAAAUGCUAAUUUGAUGAGGAAGACAAAUCUUCAAUCACUGAGUUUGUCUUGGCGAGAAGACAAAAACAGCAUAAUCAGUGAGGCAAACAGUGAAGAUGUUCUUUGUGCUCUUGAACCCCAUUCUCAUAUGAAGAAGUUAGAGAUAAGCGGAUAUCGAGGAUCCAAAUUUCCAGAUUGGAUGAUGGAGUUGCGUCUACCAAACCUAGUGGAGAUCUCACUAGAAUCGUGCAUGAAUUGUGAACAUCUUCCUCCUUUUGGGAAACUGCGGUUUCUUAAGCAUCUUCAAUUGAAGAGAAUGGACACUGUGAAGUGUAUUGGCAGUGAGAUGUAUGGAGAGGGAGAGAAUCCAUUUCCAUCAUUAGAGAGGUUGACUUUGGGUCCAAUGAUGAACUUAGAGGAGUGGGAAACAAAUACCAUGGGUGGAAGGGAAAUUUUCACUUGCCUUGAUGAAUUACAGAUCAGAAAAUGCCCCAAGCUGGUCGAGUUACCAAUUAUUCCGUCGGUGAAACAUUUAACUAUUGAGGACUGCACUGUAACUUUGCUGAGGUCAGUUGUGAAUUUCACUUCUAUUACCUACCUUCGAAUUGAGGGCUUCGAUGAAUUGGCAGUUCUUCCUGAUGGACUGUUGCAAAACCAUACAUGCCUUCAAAAGCUGUCAAUUACGAAGAUGAGAAGCCUAAGGUCGCUGUCAAAUCAGCUAAAUAACCUAUCUUCUCUUAAGCAUUUGGUUAUUAUGAAUUGUGAUAAACUUGAAAGCUUCCCAGAAGGUGUCCAGAACCUCAAUUCUUUGGAGCUGUUAAGUAUACAUGGAAUGCCAAAAAUCACUGCACUGUCUGUUUUACCUUCAUCUCUUGCUACCUUGCGGAUUCUAAAUUGUGAAGAACUUACGUCUCUAUCUGAGGGACUGCAAUACCUGACAGCACUCAAGGAUUUGGAACUUUCUAGAUGUGUAAAGUUAGAUUCCUUGCCACAGAGAAUACGACAUCUCACUUCUCUCCAGUCUCUAACAAUCUCUUGUUGUACGGAAGUAUCUUGUCUUCCGAAUCAGAUACGGCAUCUCACAUCCCUUUCAAGACUGCAUAUCCAUGGAUGCUCUAAUUUGAUGUCUUUGCCAGAAGGGAUAAGGUAUCUCGAAAUGCUCAGAGAGUUGGAAAUUGCAAGAUGUCCAAAUGUGGAGAGACGGUGCAAGAAAGAAAAAGGAAAGGACUGGCCUAAGAUAGCUCACAUCCCUACCAUCAUCAUUAAUAACCAAGUAGUACAGUCCUCGGAGACCUGAAGGAUAUAUGAUUGCUCGGUACUUGUUGGGAUUUCAUUUGGCUAAUAUUAUUGUGUAUAAUCUUUUUUCACCAAGUAAUAAUGGUUGUGGUGAUCAAAUAAAAUGUAAAAUUGUCAUAAGAUUUUAGGGAUGGUAACCAGUUUUAGAUGAAUAAGCGGUAUCUGAGGAAUUCUAUUUUUCUUCAGUGUUGUUUUGUGCUUAUUUACAGUCUAUUAUUGCUCAAUAAAAUUAUGAAUCUGAUUUGAAAAUUGAUUCUAGUAGAUAUACUGAUAUAAUAUAAACAAACUUAUUUUGUAUCAAUCCCUGGUUUUUGUGAUUUUCACUUGAGCUUCUAAUGGUGCAAGCAGGGCAGGCAGGUAAUGUCCACUGAGGAAUCUUCAAAAUCAAGAGAGCCUGAACUUUGCUGCAUAUAACACAAAUAUGUUUGAAUUGAUUGAAGCAUUGCAUCGCAGGGGAAACUAGCAGAUGAUGUAUUAAAAUGUAUAUUUAGGAUCUGCAAUGCAGAAUAUGAAUCUUGAACGUAUUGAAAGUUGUAGCAUGUUGCCACAAGAAAUCAGUUUUACAUAGGCACGAAUGAUCCUUGGUGUGAAUUUUUGUUGCUUAUACUUCACAAUGAAGUUCAUCUUGGGGUUUGAUAAGGCUCUUUUUUUUUCUUUUUUCUUUUUAUAGUGGCCUCAAGCCCAGCAGACAGCAGUAUAAUUAUUGAACAAAAGGGAUGCUUAAAAAGAUAAUCUUGGUCUAGAGCUGAUAUUUGGUAUUAUGAGCCACUAUUUCAGAAACCAAGUAUUAUUUUGAGUUGAGAUUUUAUUGCCAUUGGUAAAAAGCAAGUAGUUUGCCAAGUUCCUUUUUGCCAUCUACUAGAAUGAUUCAUAUGUUUUGUCCUUCAAAGAUUUCAUGUGUUCCACUUGUUAAUUGUGAAAUAAUGGUAACCUAGAGUGGACUAAUUUCGACCAAAUUAUGGUAAUUUAUACUUACUUUCUCGGUAACUUGAUGUAUAAUUUCAUAUAAUUCUGUUUCUUCAUUUAAGUCUACCAAUUGUGAAUUUCUUUUAGAGCAGAAUUUCUCUUCCUGUUCCAACCCAUGCAGACUAGGAAUCCUGAAGAUUCCUCGAGAACAGUAUAGUAAAGGAGUUUCAUCAGAGUAAUGCAGUUGAUGGAAUGUACUUUGAUGGAGUUGAGAUGAUGAGUUUGAAUUCAUAAAACAUGUAUUGUCGAUGAUCUUAGGCUUCUCUGUAAUGGUAAUAACCACUGUGUUUAUGGCUGCUUGUAGGCAGAGCAGUAAGGCUAUCAUGGGUGAAUAUUAUGGCUUGUAGUCUUCUUCCCAUUGUAAAUCUGCCCAUCUACUUGGGGAAGUACAGUAUCUGACCAUACCUGCUGGUAUAUAUUUGAUUAUGGUGAUGAUGAUUAUUAUGGUUAUUAAAAUUGAAUUUUUUUAAUGAUUUCAUAAUCAUUUACAUGCUUGUUAAGGAAAUUAUGGGAUUUAAUAAAAAAUAAAAUUCAUAGGAAAAUUAUCUAGAAUAUGUCUGCUAGCGUGUUUGGAAGUGUGGUUACGGUUGCUUUUCAAAGUGUUUUUCACUCGAAAAAUAUCAAAAUAAUAUUUUUUAUUUUUUAAAAAUCAUUUUUAACAUCAACGCAUCAAAAUAAUCCAAAAAUACCAAAAAAUAUUAAUUUGAAGCAAAUAAAAAAAUUUUAAAUUUUUUCAAAAGCGUUUUUGAAACAUAAAAACAAACUGGAACGUCAGCUUGAACUAGAAAAGUUUUCCAGGGACAGCACGAACUGAGCCAGGCAAUUUUUGUCCUAGCCAAUAGUUAUACGAAGAUGACCAGUAUCUCCAAUUUUAUAUGAAGAUGAUGGAAUAUUUAUUAUAAUAUAAAGUAUGAUACAAACAGCCUACAAAUAUUUAUAUGUACUAUAUAUAUAUAUUCUUUUUUUUUUCUUAAAGGCGUUGAAAGCUCACCAACUCUGCAUGCUUGAUUGGGUUUGUCAGUGUUGUUUAGUUCUAGUCUUCUUUUCCAUAUAUAUCCUGCAGCCAUGAUUCGGAGCCUUUGCAAGUCUUUAGGCAUCGUUUUUGCUGCCUCUUUGUGGCCUUUUCUGAAUGUUGCUCUCUGUUGUUUCAAUCCUCUCGCCCUUCUCGGAAAACCGGAGAUAGCAUUGGAAACAAAUCGCUAUAAGUCUACCGUUCUGUUGAAUUAGAGGUAGACCUACCAGAGGAAGCAAAGCCUGCGUCAGUUUGAAAGACAGAGAUGGCAACUGAAGAGAUCAAAGAAUUGCCAAAAUCAUGGGCCAUGGUUGGUGGAGAUGGACCUCAAAGCUAUACUCAAAAUUCCUCCUAUCAGGUGCAUCUUCUUCCCCUUAUAAUAAUAAUAGUAGCAAUACUAAAACACUUUCACAAAACAGCCUCUCUUUUUUUACUUUGGUUUUUUUUUCAGUUUUAUUAUUUGAUGUUGAGUUGAUUGAAAUUUCAUGUUAAUAAUUUGUUUUUAUUUGUCUUUUAUGUGUUCAUUACAAUUUUUAAAAACCAUAUUGACAUCAUGAUAAUAUUCAAUUUCAUGAAAAAGUUAUAAUUUGGUUGUUCGUAAAGAAUUGGAUGCCAUUUUUAUUUUUUUUUUAAAAAAAACCAAUAUCAAGUAUCAAUUCUAGUCAUUUUUCUUUUUAGCUUUUGAUCAUCAAUUUUUUUUCUUUUCAAUUGGAUCCUCAAAAUUGUGUUGAUUGGAAAAUAAGAUUAAUGGUUUGUUUUAGUUUGUUUUUUAUGUAGUUAUCUGGAUCUGAAAAAAAAAGUGUUGUCAUUGUCUUGGCGCUCAAUUUCACAAAGAAUAAUCUAUUUUAUUGUUUGCAAAAUAUUAAAAAUAAAAGGAUUGAAAUAAUAUCACAUAAAAAUUAAGAGGUUUUUUUUUGAAAAAACUAUGAGUCAGUUUCAUUUCCACAAAUUUCUUCUUUAGGUUUUGGCAAAAAUCAUUUUUGUUCCCUUGAGUUUAGAGAAUAAAGGGUUUGAUCCAGAACUUUAUUUUUCUUAUAUUUUAGUAUUUGAAUUUUAGAUUGAAGAGAAAGAGUCUUCAAAUUAUGAUCAAUAGAGAGAGAAAUUGACAAACAUGCACUUUUCAAUAACAAAACUUGAUGUUUUUGGUGUCAACAAAUUCCAUUUUAAUUAGAUCUUUUUUUUCUUGAACUUUGUUAAAAUGAUUUUAUCUUAAAUUUUUUAUUUAAAGCCAUAUUAUAUCUAUGUUGAUUGUUUAUAUUGUCUUUAAACCUACUAAGUUAAUUAUAUCAAUAUUAAAAAAACUUUUAAAUGGUUUGAUUUGAAAUUUAAGUUAGAUAAGAAUUCAACUAAAAAAAUGUUAAGAUUGACGAACUCCUUUCAAAAAUUUCCUCGCAACUUUAAUUUUUUUUCUGCUUAUUUUUUUUAUUUUAGUGUAGCUCGCGCCAAAGCGUUAAGAACGUAUCUAGUCUACUCUAAACUAAUUCUUUGCACGCCUAUAAUGCAUCUGCUUAUUGCAACAGAAAGGAGUGGUGGAUGCUUCAAAGGAAAAGGUGACUGAAGGCAUCAAAGACAAGCUUGAUUUUAAAAGCCUUGGUUUUGACUCAUCGAAUGACACAUUUCGAAUAGCAGAUUUUGGUUGUUCUGUUGGACCCAAUACAUUUUUUGCUGUGGAAAACAUCAUAGAAGCUGUGGAGCAGAAAUACCAAGCCCAGUUCCAAAAAUCCCCACCCUUGGAGUUGGAGUUCCAAGUAUUCUUCAACGAUGUCACAACCAAUGAUUUCAACACUCUCUUCAAAACCCUCCAUUCCAAUAGAAAAUACUUUGCUGCUGGACUGCCCGGUACUUUCUACGGCCGCCUCCUCCCCAAGUCCACACUGCAUUUGGCGUACUCUUCAUAUUGCUUACAGUGGCUCUCUAAGGUCCCAAAUGAAGUUGUAGACAGCAAGUCUCCUGCAUGGAACAAGGGCAGCAUCCAAUGUGAUGGUCUCAAAAAAGAAGUCACCAAGGCAUAUUCAGCUCAGUUCCAGAGUGACAUGAACACCUUUUUGAAUGCUAGAGCACAAGAAAUUGUGGGUGGAGGAUUGAUGGUGAUUAUAAUGGCCGGUCUUCCUAAUGGGAUCUUUAUGUCUCAGGCAGGAGUUGGAAUGUACUAUGACCUUCUCGGAUCAUGCCUCGUCGACAUGGCUAAAUUGGUAAAAUAAUUCUCUCUCUAACUGAUUAGAAGCAAAAUCCUAGUAAGUAUACUAUUUGACAUAUGCAGAUCGUUCUUCUUUGCAGGGAGAGAUUAGUGAAGAAAAGUUGGACUCGUUCAACUUGCCUCUGUACUAUUCUUCUUCUACGGAGAUUGAAGAAAUCAUAAAAGUAAACGGGAAUUUCAGUAUUGAGAUAAUGGACUCAUUGAGUCAUCAGAUUUGGCAAACGUCGAAGAAAUCCAAUAUCGAUAUUUCUGUUUCAGGGGGCAGAGCUGUUUUUCAGGGUCUCGUGGAAGAGCACUUUGGGAGUGAAGUUGUAGAAAAAACAUUUGAGCAUUUUGCUAAGAAGCUUGUUGACAAUUUCUCUAUCUUCGAUGGCGCAGCCCAUGAACACAUCGACCAUUUCAUCCUCCUCAAGCGUCACUUUAAUUGAUAUCGCUCACAGUUAUGUGCUCGCUAUUCCCUUAGUUUGGAAUUUGGAUUCCAUUGUUAUCAACUAAUGAAGUGUGCAUCUCAUGCUGGAGAUGUUGAACUUCAGAUCAAAUAAUUUGGAUUCCAUUUCUAUGCUAUUUCGAUCUCAUUUCUAUGCUUCAAUUCCUUCUUUCAGAAUAUUAGAACUAAUAGUUUAACUUUUUGGAAAAGCUUAUGCACUAAACUUUCUCUCAAGGUUCAUGUUCAUACUAUCAAAUUUGAAACUAUAGAACUUCGAAGAUAAAAUAUGUUUGUCUGGAUGGAGUGAUAAAUAUUUAAACGAGAACACAAAUUAAUGAAUUUGAAAGCCAAAUCACUCAUUAGGAAAGAAGACUAAAACUCAUUCAAGAACUUCAAAUUAUAAAGGCAAAAUGUUUUAGUAUGCUUUCAGGGAGUCUCGAACAUGGAAACUAUAAGAUGCAGCACGUAUAGAAAAAAUCUAAUGUUUUUAUUAAUAUGGUAUUUAGAUAUUUUUCAUUAAUUCAUUUUUUUAUGAUAUUAGAUUUUAUUUUUAUUAAUAUGAUUAGCUAAAAGUUGUUUUUAUUAUAAACUAAAAGAAUGUCAGAAGAUAUUCUUGUCUCUAGAAUCCAAUAAUGGUUCAUUUAUAUAUUUAAUUAAGUUCAUGCAUUAGUCACGUAAUUACAUUGUAUUUGAUCUGGUGUUUUUAUUAUUAUAGUUUAUGUUAUUUGUUCUAGCGCUUGUAUUAUAUAGAUAUUAGUUGUAGGGUGCGGUCCUUUGUGGGUUGCACCUAUAAAAAAUUUAAAUAUUCAUAUUAUAUACAUUAUUUAUUGAAAUGUAACUACACAUAGAAAAAAAUAAUUUAUCUAAGUUGAUUUACACUUAGUAUUUAGGAUUAAAUUGAAUCCUUGAAUGCGCAAACCUUUAGCUCACACAGAAAGUCAACAUGAUGAAAUUAAAAUUUAGAAAGCAGUGUUAAAUAAACGUGAUUAGUCUGAAUUAAUUAAUUAAGCAAAAGAAAACAGCAUUGACUUUCAAUCAUUUGUUGGAUCGGUCAACAUGGAAUUUCAAUCAUGAGGCACUCUUUGCAGUGGUGCCUCAUUCCCAUUACAGGUCUUCCCUUCAUCCUGUGAGUUUUAUUGUCAGCCUUAGAGUUAUUUCAUUACAAAAAAAGGGUAAGAAAAUAAAGUAAUUUUAUUACAUUUGUGUGUUUCUUUAAUAUCAUUAAGAAAAAAUUAAAUUCAGAAAGUAAACUCAUUGGGUAUUAUAUCUCCGUUGGAAAAUCCUAUAAAAAUGUUGCAGCUUACCAUCAUAUAUAUGCAAAUCGGGAGACAGGAGUGCAGUGGUUUUCUAUGCUUUUGUUUAUUUUAAAAAGAUAUUAAAUUAAUAUAUUUUAAAAUAUUACUUGAUUAUUUUGAUAUAUUAAUAUCAAAAAUAAAAACAUAUUUUUUCAAAAUAUCAUAGCAAACACGGAAUUAAAGUUCUUUGCUACUUUUCAAUUAGACUUUCAUUAUUUGUAACUCUUAGACACCAUUAAUUAUUGUUUAUGUAUUUCAAUUAAUUUAUUGUUAGUGAGUUCCAUUAACACACUAUUGUCCUUUGUGAUGGAUUACUGUAGCAGCCUGCUUGCUUAUCUGUGCGGCUAACUGCGUUUUAAAUUGCAGUUGGCCACGUAAAAAGCAUAAAAAGUUAUGCUUUUUGUGGCAAACUCCAGUUUCAAACACAAAGUAUACAAGUUGUUUUUUAAGUAAUUUUUUAGUUUUUUAACAUUAUUAGCAAAAUUAACAUAUUAAAUUAAAUAAUAGAAAAAUAGAAAAAAUAAUUUUUAAAUAAAAAAUAAUUUUUAAAAAAAUAUUUAAAAAAAAUAAAAACAAACUAACUUGUUAAAUCCAAAGAUCCCUUAUUAUUUUUUACAAUUAAUCCAUGUUUAUGUUUUUGGACCGCAAGAGCACUAGAUAUGCUUGUAUCAUCUGUUGAAAUUUAUUGUAUACACAUGAAUUCUAUUCAUAAUCAAAGUAAUUAAGCUUGUCUCAUAACCUAGUUAUGUUUUAAUGGAUUAGCUUGGGUUGAUUUAAGUUAAUUAAAAUGAUAUUAUUUUAUUAUUUUAUUUGAAAAUAUAUUAAAAUAAUAUUUUCUUUUAAUAUUAACAUAUUAAAACGAUUUAAAAAUAUAAAAAAAUAAUUUUUUUAAAAAAAUACCAUUUUUGCCACUAAAACAAACAUUUGGCUGAUCCAAAAGCAUUUGAUUCGGGCUAUUUAUAUAAGAUAUAAGAAUGAAAAAGAUUUGGUGUGUUGAGUUAUCUACAAAUCAAUAAUAAAUUGUCUUAAAUUAGAUAUAUAAACCAAAACGUAAUUGCCCACGGAGUUUGUCUCUAUGUUUUCCAAAUUUUAAUUAUCUUCAAUCUAAAAAUAAAAAUAAAAAAAUCAUUUCACUUUAUAAAGGUUUAGCCCUUGAAGCCCAUGAUGUUUUUUGUGGAGCAAUUUGUUUCUACAGGGAAUAAUGGGCCUUAGAAGCCUCAUUGUUCUAAGAGGUUGGAUACUUGACCAAAUAAGCCCACUGAAACCCAUUAACAGAUUCAUUAGAGCCACCAAAGAAUAAAUAACUCCUUAAGGUCCACAAAAAGACAGUGAAAUGGCUGGCAGAAGCAGCCGUCAUCAAUAAUUCACAAACGUAGUCUACUUGCCUACGGGUUUUUUCACAAACAAGGAUCUCUCCCUCCCUCCCUAGCAUACUCUCUCCCCUGUCCUCUCUUCACCACCAUUUCUUGCUUUACUUCCAUUUCCUACUUGCUUCUUUUUGCUAAUUAAGAUCCCCAAUUUAAAUUCCCCGCAAAAAGAAAACAAAAAAAAGCUAUGGCUGAGGCAGUUACUUCUGCACUUGUUAGCACCGUCUUGAGGAAGUUGAACACACUUGUGCAUGAAGAGCUUGGACUUGUUUUUGGCAUCCAGACCGAGUUUGAGAAACUCAAGCGCACCUUCAUGACGGUUCAAGCUGUCCUCAAGGAUGCUGAGGAGAAGCAGUGGAAAGAUGAGGCCAUCAGGAUUUGGCUGACAGACCUCAAAGAUGCUGCCUAUGAUGCUGAUGAUGUGCUGGAUGAGUUCGCUAUUGAAGCUCAGAGGCGCAGACAGCGAAGGGGUCUUAAAAACCGAGCAAGGUCUUUCUUUACUCUUGAUCAGAAUCCACUUGUUUUUCGAUUGAAAAUGGCUCAUAAGGUAAAGAAUGUAAGAGAAAAGCUUGAUGACGUAGCCAAUGAGAAAAAUAAGUUCAUACUAACAGAGGGAGUUGGAGAGAACGAAGCUGAUAGGUUCGAUUGGCGGAUAACUAGGUCGCUUGUUAACGAAUCAGAAAUCUAUUGAAGAGACAAGGAAAAAGAAGAGCUGAUCAGUUUGUUGCUCGCCAAUUCAGAUGACCUCUCUGUCUGUGCAUUUUGUGGCAUGGGGGGGCUGGGGAAGACAACACUUGCUCAAUUAGUCUACAACGAUGCAAGUGUAAAAGGGCAUUUUGAUUUGAAUAUCUGGGUUUGCGUAUCUGUUGAUUUCGACAUAAGGAGGCUAUCAAGAGCCAUCAUAGAGUCCAUUGAAGGCAACCCUUGUGCCAUUCAAGAGCUGGACACUUUGCAACGACGCCUCCAAGAAAAGUUGAUUGGAAGGAGGUUUUUGCUUGUGUUGGAUGAUGUUUGGGAUCAUUACCAUGAAAAAUGGAAUGCAUUGAAAGAUGCUUUGAGAGGAUGUGCUAUUAUAAUAACAACUCGUCUCAAGCAGGUUGCUGAUAAAAUGGCUACUAUUCCUGUUCACCUAAUGGGAAGAUUGUCGGAAGAUGAUUCUUGGCUUCUGUUUGAGCGUCUUGCAUUUGGAAUGAGAAGAAGGGAGGAGUAUGUGCACUUAGAAAGUAUUGGAAAGGCGAUAGUCGAUAAAUGCAGUGGCGUUCCUUUAGCUCUAAAGUCACUGGGGAGCUUGAUGCGCUUGAAGAGAAAUGAACAACAGUGGUCAUCUGUCAAAGAAAGUGAGAUUUGGAAUCUACCAGACGAAGGUGGCACAAUUUUACCUGCCUUGAAGUUAAGUUAUAACAAUUUGCCACCACAUUUGAAACAAUGCUUUGGAUUUUGCUGUAUGUUUCCGAAAGAUUAUGUCAUGAAGAAAGACCAGUUAGUAAAGCUAUGGAUGGCCAACGGAUUUAUUGAUCCUGAAGGGCAAAUGGAUUUGCAUGAGACGGGAUACGAGAUUUUUGAUGACUUAGUUGGGAGAUCAUUUUUUCAGGAGGUCAAGGAGGAUAGCUUCGGAAACAUAACUUGCAAAAUGCAUGAUCUUGUCUAUGAUCUCGCAAAAUCAGUUAUGACAGGAGAAUGCUGUUUGAUCGAGAAGAAUAGGAGACCUAGAAUUCCAAAGACAGUUCGUCACAUAACUUUUCUUGAUAGAAGUCUUUGUUAUUAUGACAAGGACCCUGUCAAAGGGAAAUCAUUGCGGUCGCUGAUUUCCUUUCAGGACGAUUACUACCCGAGUGACUCGAUUGGUGCUCUUUUUUUAAACAUGUCUGCACAAAAGAAACUACGGACGUUGAAUUUAAGCAAUUUCUGGUUUAGAAAAUUGCCAGAGCCGAUUGGUAAUUUGCAACAUCUAAGGUAUCUAGACGUCUCUUUCUCUUUGAUCCAAAAACUACCUGAAUCAAUCAGCUCUCUUCAAAACUUGCAGAACCUAAAUUUGAGUAACUGCUUUCGGCUUUAUACGUUACCAAAAAGGAUGGAGGACAUGAAAAGUCUCAUGUAUCUUGACCUCACACGUUGUGAUGCGCUUCAAUGUAUGCCUUCCGGGAUGGGACAACUGACUUGUCUGCGAAAGCUUGGUAUGUUCAUUGUGGGUAAAGAGGCUGGUCAUCACAUAGGGGAGCUGCAAAGACUGAAUUACAUUGGGGGUGAAUUGAGCAUCAAGGAUCUAGGUAACGUCCAAGGUGUCACAGAUGCACAAAAUGCUAAUUUGAUGAGGAAGACAAAUCUUCAAUCACUGAGUUUGUCUUGGCGAGAAGACAACAGCAGCAAAAUCAGUGAGGCAAUCAGUGAAGAUGUUCUUUGUGCUCUUGAACCCCAUUCUAAUAUGAAGAAGUUAGAGAUAAGCGGAUAUCGAGGAUCCAAAUUUCCAGAUUGGAUGAUGGAGUUGCGUCUACCAAACCUAGUGGAGAUCUCACUAGAAUCGUGCAUGAAUUGUGAACAUCUUCCUCCUUUUGGGAAACUGCGGUUUCUUAAGCAUCUUCAAUUGAAGAGAAUGGACACUGUGAAGUGUAUUGGCAGUGAGAUGUAUGGAGAUGGAGAGAAUCCAUUUCCAUCAUUAAAGAGGCUGACUUUGGGUCAAAUGAUGAACUUAGAGGAGUGGGAAACAAAUACCAUGGGUGGAAGUGAAAUUUUCAGAUGCCUUCAUGAAUUACAGAUCGGAAAAUGCCCCAAGCUAGUUGAAUUACCAAUUAUACCGUCGGUCAAAGAUUUAACUAUUGGAGACUGCAGUGUAACUUUGCUGAGGUCAGUUGUGAAUUUCACUUCUAUGACCUCCCUUCAAAUUGAGGGCUUCGAUGAAUUGACAGUUCUUCCUGAUGGAAUGUUGCAAAACCAUACGUGUCUUCAAUCCUUGACAUUUCAGGGGAUGGGAAGCCUGAGGUCGCUGUCAAAUCAGCUAAAUAACCUAUCUUCUCUAAAGAGGUUGGGUUUUGUGGGUUGUGAUAAACUUGAAAGCUUGCCAGAAGGUGUCCAGAACCUCAAUUCCUUGGAGAUGUUAUUUAUUUAUGGAAUGCCAAAAAUCACUACACUGCCUGGUUUACCUUCGUCUCUUGCUAGCUUGGACAUUUUAGAUUGUCAAGAACUUACCUCUAUAUCCGAGGGACUGCAACAUCUGACAGCUCUCAAGGACUUUCAUCUUGCUGGAUGUCUAAAGUUAAAUUCCUUGCCAGAGAGUAUGACAGCACUCAAGGACUUGUAUCUUCAUGGAUGUGUGAAGUUAAAUUCCUUGCCAGAUCAGAUACGGCAUUUCACAUCCCUUUCAAGAUUGAUUAUUAGUGGAUGCUCUAAUUUGAUGUCUUUGCUAAAAGGGAUAAGGAAUCUCGAAAUGCUCAGAGAGUUGGAAAUUGCAGAUUGUCCAAAUUUGGAGAGACGGUGCAAGAAAGAAAAAGGAAAGGACUGGCCUAAGAUAGCUCACAUCCCUACCAUCAUCAUUAAUGACCAGCUAAUACAGUCCUCGGAGACCUGAAGAAAAUAUGAUUGCUUGGUACGAGCUGGGACCUCAUUUGGCUAAUAUCCUCAUGUGAAAUCUGGAAUAUUUAUUCACCAAGUACUAAUAGCUGUGGUGAUCAAAUAAAAUGUAAAUUGUAAUAAGAUUAAGAUUUCAGGGAUGGUAACAAGUUUUAGAUGAAUAAGCCGGAGAUGAGGAAUUCUAUUUCUCUUUAGUGUUGUUUUGU